rnacentral:lncRNA from 1 species
GGUUCCUACUCGGAGUACUCAAAAGCAUAUUCCUCCAUAUCUGCGUCGAAAUACGAACAUGUAAAGGCAUUGAAUCAAUAAUGAAGAAAUUGGAAUUGAAAGGCGUAAAAGUCCUGAACCCAUGGUUGCUUGACGAUGAGUCAAAGAUGGUGAAUUACAGGAGCGAUGAGUGAUUAGGGCUUGGUUUUGGAAAUGUAACAGAAGUGGAAAUAAUGAUUUCCGGAGGCAUGGCCCUGUGCCUCUCUAUACGAAGAGUGUCGCCGGAACCUAAAACCGGAGCAUCUGGCGCCUAAUCGAACCACUCCUGUCAAAGUCCCUUCCUCUCCUUGCCUGUUCUCGUUCCCCCAUUCUGUUUCCGGCGAUUUAUUCCCGAUUCUCUCUCUAUAUCUAUUAAUAAUUGAGUAU